UCCCAGGUGGCUCAGUGGUAAAGAACCCAUCUGCCAAUGUAGGAGGCACAGGUUCAAUCCCUGUGUUGGGAA
rnacentral:tRNA from 1 species